UGCCAGUCAUUCCAACAAGUUGACUUGAGUGCUCACUACUCAGUCAAUUUCCAUCCAUUAGAUCCUCAUGCUGUCAAAAGCCUAAAACUCAUGUUUGAAGAGCACAUAUAAUGGAAUAUAAAUGUGCCGAGAUAAAGAUCUUUUCUGAAUCUCGCAAUUUUGGUGGCGUACCCUGCAACAGCAUGUUUGUUGUUAUGGCUUUUUUUUACUUUGGUUUAGAAUGCAACCCAGCUAAGAAAUAGAGUUUCAGUGACAUGAAGAGUGUGAAGUGAAUCACCUAUCAC